rnacentral:lncRNA from 1 species
CCUUUUACAGUGUUCCAUAGAGAUGUUCAUUUGUCCAAUGUUUGAAGACUUACUUAUGCAUCUCAUCUCUUUCCUUUUGAUUUCAAUAGGUUAGAUGGCUUCAAGAAAAUAAAAUUUAUCAAGGAUCGAUAUACUGGCAUGCAUUUGGGUUAUAAAUUUCACAAGAAAUUGGUUUAUCAAUUCCUAAUUAAAUAGAAAUUCCAGUUUAAAAAUACUUAUUAGAGAUUUUAAUUCAAUAUAAAUUAACCAAUAUGAUAAUGUAAUUGUCAGUAGUAUUAAGUGCAUUAUAGUUUUAAGUUUAAGAAAAUAUCACUCCCACUGUUUCCUACAUAAGGAGUUCACCAAAACUAAGGUGUCAUAUUCAAGCCUAAAUAUCUUGCAAAGGUGAAACAGAGUUCCAGGAAGAAGGUUAUUAGACUUGAGAGGAGGGUAGAAACCAUAUAUGGUGGAAAUAUAUACAUAUUUAAUUUACAUGCUAAUUCACUUUCCUCAAAAACAUAACUUCAUUCAUUCAUUUAAUCCUUACAAUAAGAAAAAAAACACGGAUAUAUUAAGCCUAGAGAAGCCUGAUAUUAAAACAGAGUGGUACAGAAUGUACAGGCAAUUAGGAGCACUUUUGAAUUUUUCAUUCAUUUCCGGUUCAUGAUUAUGGAUUUGUUAGUUAUAUAAAAGAUUAAAUGGUUUGAUUUCCCAGACAGCUACAUGUAUAUUUUGCUCUGUUGCUUUUGUCAUGAUUCUUCAGUGUGAUAUUUCAUGCACUAACAAUGUGUACAUGUUAUUUGGAUGAUUUAAAGGAUUUCAAGUGUAAUUUUAACUGUGUUCAUUUCUACCAUUCUCAUUAACUUAAAAUCUAAACCACCAGGUAAGAUUCAGUAUGAGAAAUUCUUGAGAAGACCAAAGGAGUUAAAAGUAGAGUAGAAAUGAAUUAGAAAGAAAAUGAGACAUCUAUUCAAAUACUUACAGAGUAUCAAAUCACACCCUAAAGAAUUAGGAAUAAGAAUUUGAACAAAUGUGUGAAAAUCAUAAGUAGACAUAUUUCAGUUUUGCAGGAAAAAGAGUUAAUAAGGCAAGACUUGAACUUGCGUUAUUGAUAGAACUGAGCUAAAUAUAUAGAGUGCAUUACUGAUAUAAUAUAUACUUAUGUAUAAUAUCUAUCCUCUAGAUCCAUUUCCUACUCUUCUCUGUCUUGCUCAGUUCCCUAACAGACUGCUCUGCCUGGCCUAUAUCACAGACUUCCUUGUCCACUGGAUUCCUGGGUUCCUCCAACGAGGGUCUGAAUAGGAAAACAGAAAGUAAAAUGAGGGUGAGAUCUGAGUAUUUAACCUCUGACCCUCACCUGCAGGGGAGGGACCGGUGAUCACUGCAGUGGGCAGUGACAGCAUCUCUCAACCAAAGAAAGUCACAGUUACUGGCAGAGAGCCCUCUCUACAUAAGCUUCUGGGCCUCUCCUUCCAGUUCCUUGCUGCUUUAGGCUUUGGAGGUUUCUCUCCUGUGUGGUACAAGCCCAAGGAUAUUGUUCUUCAGCAGGAUUUCCUUAUAAACAUUCCCCUAUUUAAAUCUCCUCAAUUUAUCCCAAUUUGUGUAUGUCAUCUGUUUCCUGCUGUGACACUGAUUGAUGUAGAAGCCCUUUGAAAAUUUUAUGAAUGCUAAGACCUUCACUCCAAAAGUUAAGGGAAAAAAACUCCAUACAAUUUCCUAUGUCUUUAUUCAUGAACUCAACCAAAAUUAUGUGUUCAUAAAUAUAAAAAAGACUUAGGUAGCAUUUUGCAGCAUUAAACAGAGAGAAGCUUUGUCUAGUCAAUUUCAGCAAAAAAGGAAAUUGAUAUCAACUCACAGAUAAUAUCAACUAAUCUAAGAGCCAUACAAAAUAUAACUUCCUUCUGAAUAUCUGCUGGGUAAAUGACUGUUCGCAUGAAAAGCAAAAGAUAAAAUGUAAUUCUUCCAAUCUUUUGACCUUGGCUGAUAGUACUGACCUUUCAGCCACUAAAUGACUUCUGUUAUAGUUAGAAAGCUUUUUGGCUAUGGUUUUUCAAAGACCAUUUGCAAUCUUUUGACAAGUGUGAAUUUGAUUCAAUAGACUCUACUGUAAUAAAAUGUCAGCCUUACUUUUUCGGCCCAUAUUUUUAGAAUACAUAUUCAUGCCUUGAUAUUAUCUCUUUAUAUCCAGACGACAGAUAUAAUACUAAUAGCAACACAAUGUGUGAGCAGAGGCUUCAGAUUAAUCUGGAGCUAGAAGAAUACAGGAGAACAUUUCCAGACAGCAUCAGCCUGGAAGGCGUCCUUGCCUUGCCACUCACAGUGAUUGCUGAAGGAAUGCACUAUUGUUAACUUAGCUCCUAGGAGAAGAAAAGUAGCUUUAGUGUCAUUAUAAGAUACAGUCUUGUCUCAAGUACUGAGAAUAAAUCCUAUGAAAGGGAAGCCAGUGGCAAAUGAAACAGUCACCCUUAUCCAGGGCAGUCCUACAGUAAUGUCUUUAGGAAAGUAAACUCGGUCUAUCACUUCUUGCCAUUUCUCCUAUGGAGAUCUGAAAGAUUCCUUGUUGAUCUUUUUCUCAUUCUCCCUUUCAACAAACAUUUGUUUUGCUAGUGUUGCAAUUUCAAAGCCUAUUUCUUCAGCAUUUAAAGAUAUCUUUGACUACCAGCAGGCAAAACAUUGAGUAUAUUUACAUUUUGAUAAAGAUUUUUAGAUAAAGUCUUUGACACACCAAAAAAAAAUUUAUUGAUAAAAUAUUAGAAUUUCAAAAAACGACAUUCAAUAGACUAUUAUCUACUCUAGGCCUUAGGCUUCUUUUUGCACAGCCAUGCAUUCCUUCAUGGAGAACUCUAUUUGUAUAAUUCCCUGGGACAUUAGGAAGCUGUCUCUGAACCCCAACCCUACUUCCACUUUUUCACACAGCUCAGGUUAACUCUAAUAAUGUUCCACAAAACAUAUUUAAAAAGCUAUAAGGAAGGUUUUAAAAAGUUGACUAACAAUACCUAAGCUUUAGAAAGUGAACGCUACAUUUCAGAAAAUCAAGGAAAACUAGUUGGCAAGCUGCCUCUAUGCUGCAGAUGGAUGUGAGGUAGCAAUACUAGACUGUAGAUUCUAUGCUGCAAUCUUGAAAAAUUUAUACCAAUGAUGCUAUAGCCAACUUCUGCCUCUUCCUAGAGAAUCCAAAGAAGGCAAAGUUCUGAAGGAAGGAAUUUUGAAAAAUAUUUUAUUAAUCAUGGCUUUGAAUAAUUUGUUCAAUAUUCAAGUGCUUUUGACCAGACACUGAGCUAAGUGCUGUAGGAAAAAGGGAUACCUAGCAUGUGCCCAAGCUGGGGAAAUACACUCAGAGAGUUUAGAAAGGUCUAUAAAUUACUAUAGAGUAAUGUAAUUUGGUAAAGUAUCUCCAAAUUGCACAAAGUGCUAUAAGAUUUCAAAAAAGGAAAUGAGGGAUCAUUCAGAGGAAAGAGAUCAAUACACAACUACAUUUUUAUCUUCACUUAAAAACCCUCUAAUUAUAUCCACUUCAAAACAAGACACAUAGGCUGUGUUCUCGCAAAAUUACCAUUUCAAUUCUUAUUGCAGUUUCCAUGGGUCUGAUUUUUUUUCUCAUAUCAUCGUUUAAUUAGAUUUAACUGGAAAAAUUAUCAGCUUCUGUCUGCCAUGCAGUCACCAGCCAAUUCUGUUAUUUCAUAGGAUUUAUAGUAAUCCCUAAAAUAACAAUGCAAAAUAACUCUGUAAACUGCUCAAUACACAUGAACUUGAAAUAUUAUUAGUCAGAUAAAUCCUGAUUUGAGAGAUAAAAUGAAUAUUAUUUUGUUCUGGUUCUUUGAGCUUAAUAUUAUUUUCUCUUUUCAAUCUAGAUGAAAUUUCUUUGGCAUUUUCUAUGAAGAUAAAACCUGACUGGGAAUCAUUAGAUUUACCUCAAAGAAUACUUUGAAUAUUAAUUUUCGAGAUGCUUUCACAGUGCUACAUAUUUAUUUCCUGAUUAGUUUUGAUUCACUUUCUUUGCAGUGUGGAGGCCAGUGAGCCUGCUUCCUUCUGCUGUAGUUCACAGGGGGAGUGAGCAGUUCUGAAGAUUCAGUCAUAUUCAAAAUACCUAUCUGUCAAAGCUGAUGGUGAAAACAGAAAGACUUGUGAGCAGAACCAAGAGAACUAAAUUAUUGGCGCGGUUCUCCUCCUUACAUAUAUUCUACUAGGACCAAUGCUUGGCCUUCUCUGCAUAUCAAUUCUAGCAUUUGUAUGUAGAAGUGAGAGUACCAUAGCUAUGCACUUCCUUUGCUUCUUUUAAGAUUAUGUGAUAAUGGGAAAAUGCUGUAUAAAAAGUAGACAUGAAACUACCUCAAGGAGAACAUGUGAAAAAUGUUAUAUUUCUUUCCAGAAAUAUAUUUUUGCUUCAUUUAGAAGUCCAGAAAUAAGCAGUGUUCAGUGUAAAAAUGAAAACAAAUUUUAAAAAUUAUGACGUGACUUGAAAUUUGAUUCUAAGGCAGUGCUAGAAAAUUAGUUGGGUACAAGUUACAAAAUUUGCUAUUUUGUAUGACUUUAUAUACCUAAGAGGACAUGGAUCAAUGCCUGGGCAGUCAAUUUAAUCACAAUUCAACCACUAUAGAUUGAAAAUUGUGAUUCAGUAAAUCUCUUCUUCAUUGCAGAUUUUAGCAACAGAGCAGCCAAUCUAAAAUCAAACACAGCUGGAGUUCCCGUCAUGGCUCAGUGGUUAACGAAUUCGACGAGGAACAAUGAGGUUGCCGGUUAGAUCCCUGGCUUUGCUGAGUGGAUUAAGGGACCUGGUGUUGCCAUGAGCUGUGGUGUAAGUUGCGCAGAUGUGGCUGGGAUCCCGAGUUGCUGUGGCUCUGGUGUAGGCUGGCAGCUACAGCUCCGAUUAGACCCUUAGCCUGGGAACCUCCAUAUGCUGCAGGAGUGGCUCUAGAAAAGGCAGAAAAUAAAAUAAAAUAAAAUAAAAUAAAAUACACAGCUGAAACUAAGUCAAAUAUCACAAAUACCAAUUCAACAAGGAAGAAUUGCCGUUGGAGAUCAGAAAAUAAUGCUGUAAGAAAACUGACAUAAAAUUAUAAAUUGGGUUUGUAUAAUUGAUGUAGUUCCCAAUAAAAUAUGCUUUUCACACACUGAGACUUUUGAUUUGGAUAGCUUUGGUUCAUAUUUCCUAGUACGGUUAUGGAUGUGUAGAAUCUUAGACAACUUUAUUACAUCAAUUUUGUCAUUCCUGUCAUUCUUGGAGGGUGUAGGGACUUGGUUUAUCCAUAUAAGUGACUCAUCAGACAAAGCUCCUGAAUACUCCUAACUUAGAUUCUAAGAACCUGCACUUCUAUUACACUUGAGCCAGCUACCACGCCACUAGCUCUGAUCCUAAAAGAGAUACUUACUCUGAAAAACAAAACAAAACAAAAAAAA